ensembl:miRNA
UAUUAGGUUGGUGCAAAAGUAAUUGCAGUUAUUGCAAUUACUUUAAUGGCAAGAACUGAAAUUACCUUUGCACCAA